rnacentral:rRNA from 1 species
GACGAACCGUGCGAACGUUAUUCGGAAUCACUGGGCUUAAAGCGCGUGUAGGCGGGACGGCACGUCGGUCGCUGAAAUCCCCCGGCUCAACCGGGGAACGGGCGCCGAUACGACCGUCCUGGAGGGACGUAGGGGGACCUGGAACUUCCGGUGGAGCGGUGAAAUGCGUUGAGAUCGGAAAGAACACCAACGGCGAAAGCACUCUGCUGGGCCGACACUGACACUGAGAGACGAAAGCUAGGGGAGCAAAUGGG